rnacentral:rRNA from 1 species
UACGUAGGGGGCGAGCGUUGUCCGGAUUGACUGGGCGUAAAGCGCACGCAGGCGGAUGCGCGCGUGGGGUGUGAAAUCUGGCCGCUUAACGGCCAGGCGCCAUCCCAUACGGCGCGUCUGGAGUGAUGCAGAGGUCGGUGGAAUUGCCGGUGUAGUGGUGAAAUGCGUAGAGAUCGGCAGGAACACCCAGGGGGAAACCAGCCGACUGGGCAUCGACUGACGCUGAGGUGCGAGAGCGUGGGGAGCGAACCGG